rnacentral:rRNA from 1 species
AGCGAACGCUGGCGGCAGGCCUAAUACAUGCAAGUCGAGCGCACCUUCGGGUGAGCGGCGGACGGGUGAGUAACGCGUGGGAACGUGCCCUUUGGUACGGAACAACUGAGGGAAACUUCAGCUAAUACCGUAUGUGCCCUACGGGGGAAAGAUUUAUCGCCAUUGGAGCGGCCCGCGUUAGAUUAGCUAGUUGGUAGGGUAACGGCCUACCAAGGCGACGAUCUAUAGCUGGUCUGAGAGGAUGAUCAGCCACACUGGGACUGAGACACGGCCCAGACUCCUACGGGAGGCAGCAGUAGGGAAUCUUGCGCAAUGGGCGAAAGCCUGACGCAGCCAUGCCGCGUGAAUGAUGAAGGUCUUAGGAUUGUAAAAUUCUUUCACCGGGGACGAUAAUGACGGUACCCGGAGAAGAAGCCCCGGCUAACUUCGUG